rnacentral:rRNA from 1 species
GAUGCGGCNCCUAAAUGCAAGUUCGAGCGGGGAAAAUAAGUAGUUUACUAGUUAUUGUUCUAGCGGCGGACGGGUGAGUAACGCGUGAGCAAUCUGUCUCUUACAGGGGGAUAACGCAUCGAAAGAUGUGCUAAUACCGCAUAAGACCACGACAAGGACAUCUUGACGAGGUCAAAGGAGCAAUUCGGUAAGAGGUGAGCUCGCGUCUGAUUAGCUAGUUGGUGAGGUAACGGCUCACCAAGGCAACGAUCAGUAGCCGACCUGAGAGGGUGAUCGGCCACACUGGAACUGAGACACGGUCCAGACUCCUACGGGAGGCAGCAGUGGGGAAUAUUGGGCAAUGGGCGAAAGCCUGACCCAGCAACGCCGCGUGAAGGAAGAAGGUUUUCGGAUCGUAAACUUCUAUCCUAGGUGAAGAUAAUGACGGUAGCCUAGAAGGAAGCCCCGGCUAACUACGUGCCAGCAGCCGCGGUAAUACGUAGGGGGCAAGCGUUGUCCGGAAUGAUUGGGCGUAAAGGGCGCGUAGGCGGCCGACUAAGUCUGGAGUGAAAGUCCUGCUUUUAAGGUGGGAAUUGCUUUGGAAACUGGAUGGCUUGAGUGCAGGAGAGGUUAGUGGAAUUCCCGGUGUAGCGGUGAAAUGCGUAGAGAUCGGGAGGAACACCAGUGGCGAAGGCGACUAACUGGACUGUAACUGACGCUGAGGCCGCGAAAGUGUGGGGAGCAAACAGGAUUAGAUACCCCUGGUAGUCCACACUGUAAACGAUGAAUGCUAGGUGUAGGGGGUAUCGACCCCUUCUGUGCCGGAGUAAACNCCAUAAGCNUUCCNCCUGGGGAGUACCGGCCCGCAAGGGUUGAAACUCCAAAGGAAUUGACGGGGGCCCCGCCNCCAAGCCAGCNGAACAUGUGGUUUAAAUUCCCAAGCCAACCCCCAAAAACCCUUACCCAGGGUCUUGAACCUNCCAGGGUUAAAAACUGCCNAAGAAUGCCNUUGGUGNUGCCUUUGCCNCAAUUCUUGAANANCNGGGUGGGUGCCAUGGGUUUGUUCCCUCCACCUCCCUGU